UACGUAGGUGGCAAGCGUUGUCCGGAUUUAUUGGGUUUAAAGGGUGCGUAGGCGGUUCUCUAAGUCAGUUGUGAAAUACUUCAGCUUAACUGGAGAGGUGCAAUUGAUACUGGAGGACUUGAGUACUGAUGAGGUAGGCGGAAUGGACGGUGUAGCGGUGAAAUGCUUAGAUAUCGUCCAGAACACCGAUAGCGAAGGCAGCUUACUAAGGAGUAACUGACGCUGAGGCACGAAAGUGUGGGGAUCAAACAGG
rnacentral:rRNA from 1 species